UGGGGAAUAUUGCACAAUGGGCGAAAGCCUGAUGCAGCGACGCCGCGUGCGGGAUGACGGCCUUCGGGUUGUAAACCGCUUUCGGCAGGGAAGAAGCCGCAAGGUGACGGUACCUGCAGAAGAAGCGCCGGCUAACUACGUGCCAGCAGCCGCGGUAAUACGUAGGGCGCAAGCGUUGUCCGGAAUUAUUGGGCGUAAAGAGCUCGUAGGCGGUUCGUCGCGUCUGCUGUGAAAUCCUCAGGCUCAACCUGGGGCGUGCAGUGGGUACGGGCGGACUAGAGUGCGGUAGGGGUGACUGGAAUUCCUGGUGUAGCGGUGGAAUGCGCAGAUAUCAGGAGGAACACCGAUGGCGAAGGCAGGUCACUGGGCCGCAACUGACGCUGAGGAGCGAAAGCAUGGGGAGCGAACAGGAUUAGAUACCCUGGUAGUCCAUGCCGUAAACGUUGGGCACUAGGUGUGGGGUCCAUUCCACGGAUUCCGUGCCGCAGCAAACGCAUUAAGUGCCCCGCCCGGGGAGUACGGCCGCAAGGCUAAAACUCAAAGGAAUUGACGGGGUCAUAGCUGUUUCCU
rnacentral:rRNA from 1 species